AAGUCGUAACAAGGUUUCCGUAGGUGAACCUGCGGAAGGAUCAUUAAUACGUUUCUAAACAAACGUUUUAAACUCCAAAAUAUUAAUAGUGGAAAUCUAACUUCCGGAUGCAUUUGUAGGAGUGGAGAUCAGACCUCAAAAAGUCUGGUUCUCCUCUCUUUGAAAGGAGACUUCAUGCACUUUAUUGUGUGUGACACUUCAGAGUAGAGCAGUGAGGUGAAAACUUCGGUUUUGGUUUCUGAAAUACAUCUGUAUCCGGUUAUUCUCUGUUCUACAACCCUUUUAUUAAACAAUAAACCCCAUGUACAACAACUUGAACUAAACAAAUUUUGUUUUCUCUCUUUGAGGAAAUGAAGUAAAUCUGAACUUAAGAACAACUCUUAACAACGGAUAUCUUGGUUCUC
rnacentral:misc_RNA from 1 species